UACAGAGGGUGCGAGCGUUAAUCGGAAUUACUGGGCGUAAAGGGCGCGUAGGCGGAUAGGAGGGUGAGAUGUGAAAGCCCUGGGCUCAACCUAGGAAGUGCGUUUCAAACUAACUAUCUGGAGUACAGGAGAGGGUAGCGGAAUUUCCGGUGUAGCGGUGAAAUGCGUAGAUAUCGGAAAGAACGCCGAUGGCGAAGGCAGCUACCUGGCCUGAUACUGACGCUGAGGCGCGAAAGCGUGGGGAG
rnacentral:rRNA from 1 species